rnacentral:tRNA from 1 species
GCUCCCUUCGUCUAGUGGCCUAGGACAUCGCCCUCUCACGGCGAUAACAGGGGUUCGAGUCCCCUAGGGAGCGCCA